UGGGGAGUGGUCUAACGGCAUGACGCCGCCCUUUGGAGGCGUGAGAUCCUGGGUUCGAAUCCCGGCUCCCCAG
rnacentral:tRNA from 2 species